AAUUUCACAUUCCAGAGUCAAAACAGUGUUAGGACUUUGAAGGGAAGAAUGUGUCUUUGAAUAUUCAGAGAGCACAUGAUGACUAACUGUCAGACACGCACACACACGCAAACGCACACACACACACAGACACGCACACACACACACGCACACACACGUUGACUAAUCCUCUUACACUCAGCCUGAGCUGUAGGGCUCUGCUGGUCAUGACUGUUGCUGGCAGCCUCAGCUACCUGCUGCUGUCAGAAGCUCAUCAUGCCACAUGUUUCUCUGUGUGCAUGUGUGUGUAUAUGUGUGUGUCUCUGAGGCACAGGGCGGUAAGUCAACAUGAUUGUGUGCAAUGUUCAAUAACACGGAACAUGUAAAAUUAAUCAAACAAGACUGACACAUCCGUCAUUCGGGCUUUGGAUGCAUGACCUCAGUUUGUGUGUGUGUUUGAAUGCAUUUCUCUGUUUGUUCAAAUAGAUGGACUUCUUCAUAGACCUUCCAGAAACCACGGCAACAGCAUCCCCUCAUGCUAGUCUGUGUUGUGAUGUCACAAAGGGCUGUACACAGUUGCCUUGGCAAUGACUGCAUAUUCCUGAUAUGAAGCCCUAGUGGUUUUUUCGUGCAUCUAACUGGCUUCAAGAGAAUUUGCAUACAAAAAUAACCACUGUUUGUUGUAUCCAGAACAUUGUAAUGCUGCACAAAGCCGGAUUUCUUGAGUUGCUUCUCUUUGAGGUUGGAUUAUGGUUUUAUUCCAAAUUGGAAUAGACUUAUUAAAGCACAAUACUCUUCCUGGACUCUACAAUAUAAAUUGGAGUGAAAUACACUGUUUCCACACAAUUUAAAGCACACUGCAAUUCUGUGGAGUUAAACUUACAGUGGAAAUCUAUGGGGCAAGGCAUUGAGAGUUUAAAAGCAAUGACAAUUCAUAUUGUGUGGUAAAGCAUAAAGCACUUCUUUUAUACAAUUUAAUUAAUUAUUUUGUAUUAUUAUUUUCUUUUUUAUUAUAGGUGACCUGUUAUUCUCCUUUGUACAAAAUUUAAGUCUCAGGUGUCCCCCGAAUUUGUCUGUGAAAUUUCAUCUCAAAAUAUCUCACAGAUCAUGGAAGUAGAAAUGCACAGUUUUCGUUCAUGUUUCUUUAAACGAAAAUGAGUUGCUGCUCCCCACCACAGGGGGAGUGAAAUAUGAGCGGCCCAUUUUUUCACAAGCUUGCAGAGAAAGGCCUCCCCUGUGUUGUCCUUUUUUACCUUUUUGAGGAUCGUUUUAGAAAGUUUAAAAGAAGAGCAAGCAGAACAGCCAGCAAUUCGAGGAAACUGAUAUGCCACUGCAGACAAGGUCCUGUCUAGGAGCCCGAUGCUCCUCGAUACAGCUCCCCAGCCCAUCAUGAAGGCAUCUGUGUUGACCACUAUAUGCCUCUGAAAUGCAGGGUCUAACCAUGGCCUGAAGAGACAGAUUUUUUUUCCCAGUUGACCCGAAGCCCCAGAUGGCUGAGAUCCCUGUGUUUGCACAACCGAUCUCACAAGUGAGCUAAUAUAAGCCGGCCAUCGAGAUCCGGGUGCCCUUCUCCCAAAGCCGAGCAAGGCACCCUCUGCUACUUUGAUUUGGUUUUGGAUUGGCGGUAACCCACUGUUCCUCUUGGGUAUGAUGAAAUAAAGACUGCAAAAUCCAAAUUUCAUCUCAGUUAGAGGGACAGGCUCUAUUAUGUCCUUCACCGGUAGGACCACAGUCUCCCCAUGCAGAACAGAGGCAUCCUUUUCCAAGCGAACAGAUGUGAAAAGGACGCCCAUGAACUUGGGAGGAAGCCUGGCCAACUGAAUCGCAUAACUAAGUUGAAAUGUCCAGAUCAGCCAGCUCUAGCCAGGCCCCCAGCCUGCGUGCAAGAGGGAUCAAUGGAACGGUCAGCGACAUACCCCCGGUGGAGCAGCCAGGGGAAGAAGGGUGACUUAAUAAUGGGAAGCAGUGUUACGUCCAGAUAACAAUCAUCAAGCCUUGAACGCUCGGGAGAAGGCGGGGAAUUUACUUCCGGCCAUUGGCUGGAAGAAGACGAAAGUACCUCCUUUGAUGCAGUGAUCAACAUCUUAUCCUCAUCCAAAUCCUCAAAAGAGACACUGGGUCCUCUGUGGGGCGGAUUGAAGCCGAUUUUCGGAAGCUCCAUGGGAGCGCUCACAGUGUGGACAUGUACCUUCCAUUAAUGCCGUCUCAGUCGUCUGAGGAAAGGGGUGCACAAAUAAUGCAUGAACAUUUUUUUCUACAACAAAAGGUCAGUGAAAGUACAUGAACAUAUCUAAUACACCUCACAACAAAAACAUGUAAUUUGUGACUCUAAUGCUUUAACACUACUUGAAUUCUGUAACUACUAGAAUGGCCAUAGCAGGCACUUUGACUGUUCACACUAAACUGAACUGAAAGCCAUUUCUUUCCUUUCAUAUUUACAUUCUAUGCUUGCUUUUUAUUUUAUGAUACCACCACUCAAAAAAAUUAUCCAAAAUAUUGUGUCAGUGAUAUAAAUAUGAUUUAAGUAUAAGCAAGUUUAAGCAUUUUUAGUUUUAAAAAGUUGAAUAGUAAUUAAGACAAAGUGAGACAAUAUUUAAAUAAUAAAAAUAAACAAUAAUGAGAAGUAAUAUUUAUUUGCAACAACUACUGGAGCUCUGAAUGAUGCGUGGCGUUGUCAAGGUAACGUUUGAUCCAUCGCUCCCUUCACCAAGGGUGUUCCAGAUACUUAUAGGAGACAGAAAUGCUAUGCACCCUUAAAAGAACACACUUCAAGGGCCUUCGAAGGGAGUAGGGCACAGGGAUGCUCACUUCUGAUUGGAAUUCGCACAUAAAAUCAACUAGAACAAAAGUUGCUAGGCAACAGUGACAAGAAUCUUUAAUAGUGUGAAAAAGAAGCAAAACUGAAAUUAUACACCCUCUAUAAUGCAAACAAUCAAUUUGACCGUUAUGGCCAUUUGAGGUAGAAACACUCAGAACUCUAAUUUUAAAAUUUAAUUUUAAUUUUAAUUAUAUUCUCAUUACAGAGAAGAAUUAUAGGGAGAACUAGGUGUUUUAUAAUGAAAUGUUGCUGCAGCGAGUUGACCCACUCUGAGCAUUGACGUAACAGAGGGAGCAUUUUCUACUUCUCUCUCUGUAGUUUGGUUUUUGUGUGUAAUUAUAGAGCUUUCUUCUAGCGUCUGCGCGCUUAAGAAAUGGUUUCAAACGCAAUAUAAGAGCGGUUGACAUGACAUUUCAAACUGUGCCACCAGUCAACUGCAGUGUGAGUUGCUAUACUUCCGUCUAAAAAUAUUUCAAACAGUAGGAAGGCAGGGCUUAAUCUUAAUAAAACUUUUUUAUUUACAUAUGCUCCUAAAUAACCGCAUCUAUUUUUGACCCUGAACUGACAGCCUACAUGGUAUAUUUGUGUUGUUAACUUGCUAGCAGACUAUGUAAAAUACAUAUUUUUUGUAUAAUACAUUUUGUAUAAUACUAUGUGUCUUUGUUCUCAUGUUUGUGUAGCAGCAGUAGCCCCCUGUGUGAGCGUGUUGAUUUUUGUGGUUUAUGGGGACACAAACGUAUUUAUUGACAUGGGUAUGGCAGCGGUAUUACAGUUUGAAAGUUUAUGAGGACGCUGCCAAUGUCACCAUAUUUCAAAAGGCUUAGAAAAACCAUACUAAAUGAUGUUAUUAUGAAAAUCUAAAAAAAGCAUAAAGUUUCCAGCAAGGGGUAGGUUUAAAUGUAGGCUUGGUGUAGGGCAAUAUCACAUAUAGUUUUUAACAGUAAAAAAAAAAAUAUUACGCCUCAUCCCAAAUACUAGUGUGUGUGUGUGUGUGUGUGUGUGUGUGUGUGUGUGUGCG